rnacentral:rRNA from 1 species
UUGAAGUAAAAAAAACGUAACAAGGUCUCCGUUGGUGAACCAGCGGAGGGAUCAUUGCUGGAACGCGCCCCAGGCGCACCCCAGAAACCCUUUGUGAACUUAUACCUUACUGUUGCCUCGGCGCAUGCCGGCCCCCCCGGGGGCCCCUCGGAGACGAGGAGCAGGCACGCCGGCGGCCAAGUUAACUCUUGUUUUUACACUGAAACUCUGAGAAAAAACACAAAUGAAUCAAAACUUUCAACAACGGAUCUCUUGGUUCUGGCAUCGAUGAAGAACGCAGCGAAAUGCGAUAAGUAAUGUGAAUUGCAGAAUUCAGUGAAUCAUCGAAUCUUUGAACGCACAUUGCGCCCUCUGGUAUUCCGGAGGGCAUGCCUGUUCGAGCGUCAUUUCAACCCUCAAGCAUUGCUUGGUGUUGGGGCACUGCUUUUACCCAAAAGCAGGCCCUGAAAUCUAGUGGCGAGCUCGCCAGGACCCCGAGCGCAGUAGUUAAACCCUCGCUCUGGAAGGCCCUGGCGGUGCCCUGCCGUUAAACCCCCAACUCUUGAAAAUUUGACCUCGGAUCAGGUAGGAAUACCCGCUGAACUUAAGCAUAUCAU